AUUGAACGCUGGCGGCAUGCCUAACACAUGCAAGUCGAACGGAAACGAUGGGAGCUUGCUCCCAGGCGUCGAGUGGCGGACGGGUGAGUAAUACUUAGGAAUCUGCCCAGUAGUGGGGGACAACAUUCGGAAACGGAUGCUAAUACCGCAUACGCACUACGGUGGAAAGUGGGGGACCUUCGGGCCUCACGCUAUUGGAUGAGCCUAAGUCGGAUUAGCUUGUUGGUGAGGUAAUGGCUCACCAAGGCGACGAUCCGUAGCUGGUCUGAGAGGACGAUCAGCCACACUGGGACUGAGACACGGCCCAGACUCCUACGGGAGGCAGCAGUGGGGAAUAUUGGACAAUGGGCGCAAGCCUGAUCCAGCAAUGCCGCGUGUGUGAAGAAGGCCUGCGGGUUGUAAAGCACUUUCAGUAGAGAAGAAAAGCCUAGGGUUAAUACCCCUGAGUCUUGACGUAACCUACAGAAGAAGCACCGGCUAACUCCGUG
rnacentral:rRNA from 1 species